rnacentral:rRNA from 1 species
UACGAAGGGGGCUAGCGUUGCUCGGAAUCACUGGGCGUAAAGCGCACGUAGGCGGCUUUCUAAGUCAGGGGUGAAAUCCUGGAGCUCAACUCCAGAACUGCCUUUGAUACUGGAGAGCUUGAGUCCGGAAGAGGUGAGUGGAACUCCGAGUGUAGGAGGUGAAAUUCGUAGAUAUUCGGAAAGAACACCAGUGGCGAAGGCGGCUCACUGGUCCGGUACUGACGCUGAGGUGCGAAAGCGUGGGGAGCAAACAGGG